UACGGAGGGGGCUAGCGUUGUUCGGAAUUACUGGGCGUAAAGCGCGCGUAGGCGGAUCUGCAAGUCGGGGGUGAAAUCCCGAGGCUCAACCUCGGAACUGCCUUCGAUACUGCGGGUCUCGAGUCCGGGAGAGGUGUGUGGAAUUCCUAGUGUAGAGGUGAAAUGCGCAGAUAUCAGGAAGAACACCCGUGGCUAAGGCGGCUCUCUAGUACGGUACUGACGCUGAGACGCGAAAGCGUGGGGAGCGAACAGG
rnacentral:rRNA from 1 species